rnacentral:rRNA from 1 species
GAUGAACGCUGGCGGCGUGCCUAAUACAUGCAAGUCGAGCGAACAGACGAGGAGCUUGCUCCUCUGACGUUAGCGGCGGGCGGGUGAGUAACACGUGGAUAACCUACCUAACAGUCUGGUAUAACUUCGGGACACCGGAGAUAAUACCGUAUAAUAUAUUGAACCGCAUGGUUCGAUAGUGAAAUACGGCUUUGGUGUCUCUUCUCGCUGCAUCCGAGCCGCAUUAGCUAGUUGGUAAGGUAACGGGUUACCAAGGCAACCAUGCGUAACCGACCUGAUAGGGGGAUCGGCCACACGGGAACGUAGACACGGUCCAGACUCCUACGGGAGGCAGCAGUAGGGAAUCUUCCGCAAUGGGCGAAAACAUGACGGAGCAACGCCGCGUGAGUGAUGAAGGUCUUCGGAUCGUAAAACUCUGUUAUUAGGGAAGAACAAAUGUGUAAGUAACUAUGGACGUCUUGACGGUACCUAAUCAGAAAGCCACGGCUAACUACGUG